AUGGAGAAGAUCAGCGCGCUUGCGUACAAGCUCGACCUACCUCCAGAAAGCCAAGUCCAUCCUGUCUUCCAUGUUUCGCAGCUGAAGCCCUUCACCCCCAACUUCACACCGGUGUACGGCGAGUUACCCAAGGUGCCGGACCUCUCCGUCGACAACCUCACCCCUACACGCAUCCUAGACCAGUGUAUGAUGAAGCACGGCGAUGCGCCGGUGGUGCAGCUCAAGGUGUAGUGGGGCACCGGCGACUCCGCGCCGACGACAUGGGAGGACUAGGACGUGCUCCGCCACCGUUUUCCGUCAGCACCACUUUGGGCGGAGGCAGACGACGAAGACCACGCGUAA
rnacentral:rRNA from 1 species